rnacentral:lncRNA from 1 species
AUGGAAGCGCAGCUAAUGGAGACGAGGACACAUCUGAGGAUGACACCAGAUCCCGUUCCCCGCCUCGCAGCCAGCCCCAGCCUCAAUCCCACCGACAGCGGUGGGACGGGCUCCCAGGACGCCAGGCUCAGCCAGGGCCCGGCAGCGCGGCCGGAGACAGCGGCGGCGCCGCGAGGGAGAUUCGAAACGGAGCGCCGAGCGGCUGCCGCGCGCGGCUCAACCUCCGAACGAGCGUUAACAGACUCCGAGCGGCCGCCAGAGGGACCGGGGGGGCUCGGGGAGCCCCGGGCCGCAGCCGCCGCGCCGGACACGCUUCCUCGGAGCCGCUGCCGCCCCCUGCCGUCCCCUGGCGGGCCCCGCUCUGACAGCCCCCGACCUCCCGCCUCCCAGCCGCCGCCCGGGGCCAGGAGAGAAGCGAGAGGAAGCGAGGCAGCGCUGCUCCCGAGGCGAGCGGCCGGCCCGGCUCGGCCCCACCCGCGGCCUCCGCGUCCCGCGGCGGGAGAAGCGGGAGAGAACGCCGGUGGCUCCGGGGCUCAGCGGCCCCCGGCCGCCUCCGCAGCCCGCACACGGCGCCACGACCGCUCCGUGCCCCCCGACCCCUUCCAUUCCCCCCGGUUCCGCCGCUCAGCGCCGGCCGAAGCCGCGGACCCAGCGCAGCCCCCGCCGGUACCUGCCGGCCAAACGGCCGCCGCUCACCCGCCGCUCACGUACCGAAUCCAAGUUCCCAACCGCAGCCGUCAGCGCAGCCCGGGAGAAACCCCCGCCGGCCCCGCCCCGCGGCCAAUCCGCGCCACGCCCGGCCCCGCGCCACGCCUGCUGCCAGCACUCCGCCUCGCCCCCACGAUGAGCCCUGCCCCUCUCCCCUUAUCUCUCCACCAUUGGCUGAGCCGCCCGUCAAUCCUCAGAACGGCUCCGCUACAGCCUCUCCUCAGAGUUGGGUGCUCGGUGUUCCUUACCCGGCUUGGUCCGUUGCUGUGUCAGAUGAGGGCAUCAGGGCAGAUUCAAAAGUCAGAAUGA